UACGUAGGGUGCAAGCGUUGUCCGGAAUUAUUGGGCGUAAAGAGCUCGUAGGCGGUCUGUCGAGUCUGCUGUGAAAACUCAGGGCUUAACCCUGAGCUUGCAGUGGGUACGGGCAGGCUAGAGUGCGGUAGGGGAGACUGGAAUUCCUGGUGUAGCGGUGAAAUGCGCAGAUAUCAGGAGGAACACCGGUGGCGAAGGCGGUUCUCUGGGCCUGACCUGACGCUGAGGAGCGAAAGCGUGGGGAGCGAACAGG
rnacentral:rRNA from 1 species